AGUUGCUUGGCCUCUCCCCCUCAUUGUUCACGUUGGCAUCAUCCUCUCAACCUUAGGGGCUGCUCUCCAGAGUCUGACAGGAGCCCCAAGGUUGCUUGCGGCUAUAGCAAAUGAUGAUAUUCUCCCCAUCCUGAAUUAUUUUAAAGUUGCGGAUACUAGCGAACCUCACAUAGCGACGCUUUUCACAGCAUUGAUCUGCAUCGGAUGUGUUGUUAUCGGAAAUCUAGAUCUUAUUACACCGACUGUGACUAUGUUUUAUCUUUUAUGCUACGCGGGAGUAAACUUGUCUUGUUUCCUGCUCGAUCUACUUGAUGCUCCAAGUUGGCGUCCACGGUGGAAAUACCAUCACUGGAGCCUUUCCUUUGUUGGAGCCUCACUUUGCAUAGGUAUGAAUAUUCAAAUACUUGUUGUUGAAGAUUGUCUUUUGUACAGUCUUCUUUUGUAGUCCAUUCCUAUAAAACAAAUUGUCUUGUCUUACCUGAAGAUUGAGAUGUCUUAUUAUUAUGAAGACUCUUUUUGAUGUUCCCUUUUUUUCUGUACGGUUGCAGUGAUCAUGUUCUUGAUUUCUUGGUCAUUCACUGUCGUUGCCAUUGCGCUUGCAAGUCUUAUAUACAAAUACGUUGGGCUAAAAGGAAAGGCCGGAGACUGGGGUGAUGGUUUCAAGAGUGCAUAUUUUCAGUUGGCCCUUCGUAGUCUCAGGUCACUCGGAGGUAAGGUUACAUAAUUACAUUCUCUAUGUGUUGUUACACCGAACCUGCCUUAUCUAAUAUGAGAUGGUCCAUUUAUCUAAGCUUUUCUCAUGCUUUGUCUUCUCUCCUAAUUGCAGCGAAUCAAGUGCACCCCAAGAACUGGUAUCCAAUCCCUCUUGUUUUCUGCAGACCAUGGGGACAGCUCCCAGAGAAUGUUCCGUGCCACCCUAAACUGGCUGAUUUCGCCAACUGUAUGAAGAAAAAAGGUCGUGGAAUGUCCAUCUUUGUCGACAUACUAGAUGGUGACUACUAUGAAUGUGCUGAAGAAGCAAAGGAAGCCUGCAACAAACUAGCCACCUACAUUGAGUAUAAGCGUUGUGAAGGUGUAGCUGAAAUAGUUGUAGCCCCAAACAUGACCGAAGGGUUCCGUGGGAUCAUCCAGACGAUGGGACUCGGGAAUCUCAAACCCAACAUCGUGGUAAUGCGUUACCCUGAGAUCUGGCGGCGAGAAAAUCUAACAGAGAUUCCAUCCACAUUCGUUGGGAUAAUCAACGACUGCAUAACAGCAAACAAAGCAGUUGUCAUCAUCAAAGGGUUAGACGAAUGGCCAAACGAGUACCAAAGACAGUACGGAACAAUCGACUUGUACUGGAUUGUGAGAGACGGUGGUCUCAUGCUUCUCCUCUCGCAGCUUCUUCUGACAAAAGAAAGCUUCGAAAGCUGCAAGAUCCAACUCUUCUGCAUAGCUGAAGAGGAUUCAGACGCGGAAGCAUUAAAAGCCGACGUGAAGAAGUUCCUCUACGACCUGAGAAUGCAAGCAGAAGUAAUCGUGGUGACGAUGAAAUCAUGGGACAUAAGAUCAGAAGGAAACAGCAAAGAAGAUUCGUUGGAAGCGUUUGAUGCUGCACAGAGACGAAUCUCAGAUUACUUGGGAGAGAUAAAGAGUCAAGGUUCGACUCCUCGGUUGGCGAAUGGGAAAGCGAUGGUGGUGAAUGAGCAACAAGUGGAUAAGUUUCUGUAUACAAUGCUGAAACUGAACUCGACCAUACUCAGUUACUCGAGAAUGGCAGCGGUGGUUCUGGUUAGUCUCCCGCCGCCUCCGUUGAACCACCCGGCGUAUUUCUACAUGGAGUAUAUGGAUUUGCUGGUGGAGAAUGUUCCAAGGAUGUUGAUCGUGAGAGGGUAUCACAGAGAUGUUGUAACUUUGUUUACUUAGUUUCAUAUCUUUUUUUGAUAAUAUCCACCAACAAAAUCAAAGACCCUGUCCUUCUUCAAGGCCAGCUUCUUCUUUUCCUCUUCCAACCUCUCCUCUUUAUAUAUUUUUUACAGUUUAUAUAUAAUUUUAACCUUGUAGUACAGAUAAUUCCAUUUUGUUGAAAAUGAUUGAAUUGGAUAUUCCUGUGAGCUUUAGUUUUUUCUUUCUCAAAUUUUGUUAUAGUUAGCUUCAUUUUAUUCUUUUGGUUAUGCACUUACACCCAUAGUUUCAUAUAUCAUAUAUGUAUAUGGUAAAACACAUCUCACUAGUUUUAUCAUUUUUCUCAUUCAAAAAGAAAUCUUCAACAUUACAGAAUCUAAGUUCAUACAUUGAUCAUUAUCCAGAAGUGAAACGAAUUUGCAAAUUAUUCCUCUUUCCCACCAUCAGUCGAAACUCGAAAGAAACUGGUUUGUUAGGCUAAGAUGAGCGCAACUAUAACUUGCUGUUACUUUGUUAAAAGACUAUGGGGGUAUUGUUUACUUUUCAAUCACUAGAGGCGUGAGAGUUAUUGUCUGUUGUCUGAAAAUACAUUUUUUUUAAUAAAAAUAUUGAAAACCGUAACUUCUGCAAGUCUCUCUCAUUCUUUGGAAAAUACUUUUCACCGACGUUUCUUUCCUUCUCCAUUCCUCGAUCGUCUUGGAGCUUCGUCUCAUCUUCACUUCCACUCUCUUCGUUUCUCAAACUGUUUCCACCCUCAGACUGCUCCAUCUCAUGAGAUGUAUGUUCAUCCACGGCCACUCCUCUGUCAUCACUUCUCUCAGGUGUUCUCCGGUUAGAAGAGGCAGGACGUACUGAUGUUGUUGUUGUCGCUGGUGGAUGAUACAUUGGCCUGCCUUGAUGUUGCACAACAAUCUGCUAAGUCACCAUGGCGUGUCUUAAUCUGUUUAAUUUUCAGGAUUGUUGGCAUGGCUGGUAUCGGACAAAGCCUGGUAUUGGUAUUGCUGUGUGGAUUAUGUACAUUUUUGACGACAAUAUCUUUGAGUGCUAUUGCGACAAAUGGCGCAAUGAAGGUAAUUAUUUUUCUGUAAUAUCACCCGGAAUUUUCUUUUACAAUAGUUAAAAUGUAUCCAUCCAUUCGUUGGGUUUCUGGUCCAUACUUAGCACCCCUAUUACUUCUCUCUUUCUUUUGUGAUAGAACAAUAUGUAGGACAUCAAGUUUAUUCCGUAAAUAACUCGCAUUACUUUACUUCCAGGGUGGAGGACCAUAUUACCUCAUUGGUCGUGCUCUUGGUCCGGAGGUUGGGAUUAGCAUAGGUUUAUGCUUCUUCCUUGGCAAUGCAGUUGCUGGAGCUCUGUAAGUGUAUAUUCUGGAUCCUUUGAAAUAGAUUCUCUUGGAGAAAGUCUUAAGCUCAACACUCUAAGUUGCUGGUGCUCUGUUCAGUUUCACAUGGUCUCCGAGUGCUUCUAAUGACUAAUUUAUCUGCUUUCUUCCUUAUCAAUGUAGGUACGUUUUGGGUGCUGUGGAGACUUUUUUAAAAGCGUUCCCUGCUGCUGGGAUUUUUAGAGGUAUUACUGUGGAACUUGUAAGAAUUGAAACCUGUGAAGUGUGAACCAAAGAAAAGGGGUACUAGGAUGUCCAACAACUCUUAGUAAUUCAUCAGUUUUUCGAUCACUACUUUAUUCAUGUUAGUCUUGACGUCAAAGACUUGUUUCAUCAAUUGUUGGAAAUGGCAACGCCUAUAUGCAAUCGAGGAUUUGCAAGAACUAUAUUAUUGACUGCCAAAAUCUGACAAAACCUUUACUUGUUUUCCUUGAGGACAAAAUCUUUAGCCUAUUAGUCACAUUUAGCCACUUAUAUGUGUUUCAUUUCUAAUGGCAGAAACUAUCACAAAGGUUAAUGGAACUGCAGUUGCCGAAUCAGUACAAAGCCCAAGCUCACACGACUUGCAGAUUUAUGGAAUUGUUGUGACUAUACUUCUAUGCUUCAUUGUGUUUGGCGGCGUGAAGAUGAUCAAUCGGGUUGCACCUGCUUUCCUACUACCCGUGUUGCUCUCUAUCUUGUGCAUAUUCAUUGGGAUGUUUUUGGCAAAAACAGAUGAUCCUGACAGUAAGCCAUUUCAGGAUAUUGUUGGAUAUAGGCAUGGAGAUAUAUUUCCCCAAACUGUUAACCUUUCCAUUGUUAUGAUCUGAACAGCUGGAAUCACGGGCUUGCGAUUAAAAAGUUUUAGAGAUAACUGGAGUUCUGCUUAUCAGAUGACAAAUAAUGCGGGAAUUCCUGAUCCACUUGGAGGCACAUACUGGAGUUUCAAGUGAGUCACAUCUAGAAUUUUUGUUGCCUAUGAUAGUAAAACUCUAGUUUUUGUGUAAGUUUAUUUGUUACUCUGAAAUUUAUAUACCGUUCUCUUUGUUACUUUUCAGUGAGUUGGUGGGUCUAUUUUUCCCUGCUGUAACAGGAAUUAUGGCUGGUUCAAAUAGAUCAGCUUCACUGAAAGACACACAAAGAUCAAUUCCUGUUGGAACAUUGGCUGCCACUCUGUCAACCACCUUACUGUAUGUGAUAUCAGUGCUGUUUUUUGGAGCUGUUGCUACCCGUGACAAACUUUUGACUGAUAGGUAACGGUGUUACUCGUGUGACUUCUUUGUUUUUUUUUUUGUUUCAAAGCCGAUCUGGUGUAUUUAGCAUGGAUAAACUUGAAAGAUAGUAAAAGUUGCUUUGUGCUCUGAAUGUACUAAACAAAACUACUAGGGGCCUACGAAAGGUGUACUUUCUUAGUCUAUAUGUCAAGAAUAAAUUAAGCAUUUCUGAUAGUGGUCGCAGAGACCUGUUCUUUUAGCGCUUCAACACCUUGAUUUUUUUUUAAAAUUUUCAUACGAGAGUAAUUUUCCUCUAUUGCAGGCUUCUUACUGCCACAGUUGCUUGGCCUCUCCCCCUCAUUGUUCACGUUGGCAUCAUCCUCUCAACCUUAGGGGCUGCUCUCCAGAGUCUGACAGGAGCCCCAAGGUUGCUUGCGGCUAUAGCAAAUGAUGAUAUUCUCCCCAUCCUGAAUUAUUUUAAAGUUGCGGAUACUAGCGAACCUCACAUAGCGACGCUUUUCACAGCAUUGAUCUGCAUCGGAUGUGUUGUUAUCGGAAAUCUAGAUCUUAUUACACCGACUGUGACUAUGUUUUAUCUUUUAUGCUACGCGGGAGUAAACUU
rnacentral:lncRNA from 1 species